AUUGAACGCUGGCGGCAGGCCUAACACAUGCACGUCGAGCGGAUGAAGGGAGCUUGCUCCUGGAUUCAGCGGCGGACGGGUGAGUAAUGCCUAGGAAUCUGCCUGGUAGUGGGGGAUAACGUCCGGAAACGGGCGCUAAUACCGCAUACGUCCUGAGGGAGAAAGUGGGGGAUCUUCGGACCUCACGCUAUCAGAUGAGCCUAGGUUGGAUUAGCUAGUUGGUGGGGUAAAGGCCUACCAAGGCGACGAUCCGUAACUGGUCUGAGAGGAUGAUCAGUCACACUGGAACUGAGACACGGUCCAGACUCCUACGGGAGGCAGCAGUGGGGAAUAUUGGACAAUGGGCGAAAGCCUGAUCCAGCCAUGCCGCGUGUGUGAAGAAGGUCUUCGGAUUGUAAAGCACUUUAAGUUGGGAGGAAGGGCAGUAAGUUAAUACCUUGCUGUUUUGACGUUACCAACAGAAUAAGCACCGGCUAACUUCGUG
rnacentral:rRNA from 1 species